UACGGAGGGUGCAAGCGUUGUCCGGAUUCACUGGGCGUAAAGGGUGCGUAGGCGGUCGGGUAAGUCUGAUGUGAAAUCUCACAGCUUAACUGUGAAACUGCAUUGGAUACUAUCCGGCUAGAGGAAUGGAGGGGAGACUGGAAUACUUGGUGUAGCAGUGAAAUGCGUAGAUAUCAAGUGGAACACCAGUGGCGAAGGCGGGUCUCUGGGCCGAUACUGACGCUGAAGAGCGAAAGCGUGGGGAGCGAACAGG
rnacentral:rRNA from 1 species